UUUUAGCAGGGAAGAAGCGAGAGUGACGGUACCUGCAGAAAAAGCACCGGCUAACUACGUGCCAGCAGCCGCGGUAAUACGUAGGGUGCAAGCGUUAUCCGGAAUUAUUGGGCGUAAAGAGCUCGUAGGCGGUCUGUCGCGUCUGCUGUGAAAUCCCGAGGCUCAACCUCGGGCUUGCAGUGGGUACGGGCAGACUAGAGUGCGGUAGGGGAGAUUGGAAUUCCUGGUGUAGCGGUGGAAUGCGCAGAUAUCAGGAGGAACACCGAUGGCGAAGGCAGAUCUCUGGGCCGUAACUGACGCUGAGGAGCGAAAGGGUGGGGAGCAAACAGGCUUAGAUACCCUGGUAGUCCACCCCGUAAACGUUGGGAACUAGUUGUGGGGUCCUUUCCACGGAUUCCGUGACGCAGCUAACGCAUUAAGUUCCCCGCCUGGGGAGUACGGCCGCAAGGCUAAAACUCAAAGGAAUUGACGGGGACCCGCACAAGCGGCGGAGCAUGCGGAUUAAUUCGAUGCAACGCGAAGAACCUUACCAAGGCUUGACAUACACGAGAACGGGCCAGAAAUGGUCAACUCUUUGGACACUCGUGAACAGGUGGUGCAUGGUUGUCGUCAGCUCGUGUCGUGAGAUGUUGGGUUAAGUCCCGCAACGAGCGCAACCCUCGUUCUAUGUUGCCAGCACGUAAUGGUGGGAACUCAUGGGAUACUGCCGGGGUCAACUCGGAGGAAGGUGGGGAUGACGU
rnacentral:rRNA from 1 species